GACGAACGCUGGCGGCGUGCCUAAUACAUGCAAGUAGAACGCUGAAGGCGGAGCUUGCUUCUCUGGAUGAGUUGCGAACGGAUGAGUAACGCGUAGGUAACCUGCCUGGUAGCGGGGGGUAACUUUUUGAAACGAUAGCUAAUACCUCAUAAGAGUAGAUGUUGCAUGACAUUUGCUUAAAAGUUGCAAUUGCAUCACUACCAGAUGGAACUGCGUUGUAUUAGCUGGUUGGUGGGGUAAAGGCUAACAAAGGCGACGGUACAUAGCCGACCUAAGAGGGUGAUAGGCGCCGCUGGGAGUGGGACACGGCCCAGACUCCUACGGGGGGCAGCAGUAGGGACUCUUCGGAAAUGGACGGAAGUCUGACCGAGCAACGCCGCGUGAGUGGAGAAGGGUUUAGGGUCGGAAAGAUCUGUUGUAAGAGGUGAAAGAGUGUGAGAGUGGAAAGAGCACACUGUGACGGUAUCUUACCAGAAAGGGACGGCUAACUACGUG
rnacentral:rRNA from 1 species